AGUGAACGCUGGCGGUAGGCCUAACACAUGCAAGUCGAACGGCAGCACAGUAAGAGCUUGCUCUUACGGGUGGCGAGUGGCGGACGGGUGAGGAAUACAUCGGAAUCUACUUUUUCGUGGGGGAUAACGUAGGGAAACUUACGCUAAUACCGCAUACGACCUACGGGUGAAAGCAGGGGAUCUUCGGACCUUGCGCGAUUGAAUGAGCCGAUGUCGGAUUAGCUAGUUGGCGGGGUAAAGGCCCACCAAGGCGACGAUCCGUAGCUGGUCUGAGAGGAUGAUCCGCCACACUGAGACUGAGACACGGUCCAGAGUCCUAAGAGAAGCAGCAGUGGGGAAUAUUGGACAAUGGACGCAAGUCUGAUCGAGCCAUAGCGCGUGAGUGAAGAAGGCCUCCGGGUUGUAAAGCCCUUUUGUUGGGAAAGAAAAGCAGUAGGUUAAUACCCCGCUGUUCUGACGGUACCCAAAGAAUAGGCACCGGCUAACUUCGUG
rnacentral:rRNA from 1 species